rnacentral:misc_RNA from 1 species
GGUACACUGAGGGUCAAUGGCCUCAACCGAGUCCCAAACCCACCAACAAGAAUAAGCGCCUUCAUUGUGGAUGCCUGCUGCUUUUCCUUAACCAGAUCCAAUCAAAAAUCCGAAUCGAGUCCCAGAACCGGUGCCUGAACCAGAAUCCCGGGCGAUUCAGCGCGGCGGGAACUGAGCCGACUCGGCGCUUUGCUUUGGAGUCUGAAAUGCACCCAGAGCGUUGGUCAAGAGAAGGACGAUGACGGGUUACUUAUACAAAGGAGGAAGUAAAAAUCAUCAACUGCCGUGAACUUAGCGGAUUUGAAAUAAAAUAUUAAAUUUUAUUUUGAGAUAACUUUCCUUUCANNUAAGGGGUAGAAUUUAAAUUGAUAGAAGUUUCGAGGCAGUUUCAUAGUUUGGCAGAUUUUAA